AUGCUCAUGUAAUCGCUGCACAGUUUACUGUGUAGAGGAAAGUCCAUGCUCACACAAGCUGCGAUGCUUGUAGUGUUCAUGCUUGAUGAAAUAAUAAGUCAAGGUAACCGGAGUGGUUAACGGCAGGAGUUUAUUUCUACGUCUUUUUGAUAGGAAAUAAAGCCUUGAAAGUGCCACAGUGACGAAGAUGAAUGGAAACAUUCUGAAGUGGAACGGGUAAACCCCAUGAGUGAGCAACCCAAACUAUGGUAGGGGCAUCCUCUGAUUAGGAAAUGAACGAAAAGAGGGACAAGAAUCACUUGUAGAUAAAUGAUUACAACCCGAGUACGAGGCUGACCACCGUUUUAGUACAAAGGAACAGAACAUGGCUUAUCGAG
rnacentral:RNase_P_RNA from 1 species